rnacentral:tRNA from 1 species
GGUGGGUUGGCUCAGUGGUUAGAGCGGAGGUCUCGUAAACGAAAGGUUGAGGGAUCGAAUCCCGCUAGAGGCUG